rnacentral:rRNA from 1 species
UACGAAGGGGGCUAGCGUUGCUCGGAAUCACUGGGCGUAAAGCGCACGUAGGCGGACUCUUAAGUCGGUGGUGAAAUCCUGGAGCUCAACUCCGGAACUGCCUUCGAUACUGGGAGUCUUGAGUCCGGGAGAGGUGAGUGGAACUGCGAGUGUAGAGGUGAAAUUCGUAGAUAUUCGCAAGAACACCAGUGGCGAAGGCGGCUGACUGGUCCGGUUCUGACGCUGAGGCGCGAAAGCGUGGGGAGCAAACAGG